GGACGGUAGCUCAGAGGCAGAGCAGCGGCGCAAGCCGUCGGCCGCCGGUUCGAAUCCGGUUCGUCCACCA
rnacentral:tRNA from 1 species